rnacentral:rRNA from 1 species
UUUGAAAUAAUUUAAUUAUUAAAUUUUAUUGAUUUUAUUAUUUUAAUAAAAAUAAUUUUAAUUGAAGUUAUUUUAGUAUAUUUUAUAGAAAAAAUUUUUUUAAUUAUAGUUUAUUAGUAUUGUAAAAAAAAUUUGAAAUAUAAAUUUAUUUUUUAAAAGUAAAAUUAAUUUUUUGUACCUUGUGUAUCAGGGUUUAUUAAUUUAUAAAUAUAAAAUUUAUUUUUUCCGAAUUUAAGAGAGAUAAUAAGUAGUUUUUUUUAUUGUAAAAAAAAUAUUUAUAAUUAUUUAUUAGAGAUGAAAAGUCAUUCGUUCUUAAAGAUAUCUGGUUUAUUUAGAAAUGAAUUUAAUUCAGUUAAUUUAUAUUUAAUUAAUUUUUUUUUUAAGAUUAAUUAAUUUUAUUAGUAAUAAUUAAAGGGAUAAGCUUUUAGUUAAAUAUUUAAAAUUUUUAUUUUUAUUAUAAAUUUAUAGGUUUAGAAAUAUCCAUUAUUUAUAUAAUGUUAUAAUUAGUUUAUAGUUAUUUAUGAUUUUAUAAUUAUUUAAUUUUUUAUAAAUAAAAAAAAAAUAAUUAAAAAAUUUUAGUUAUUAUGAUAUAAUUAGUAUAUUUAUUUGUUUAAAUAUUGUAAAUUUAAAGAUUAUUUAAAGUAAUUCGGCAAAAUUUUAUUCGCCUGUUUAACAAAAACAUGUCCUUUAGAUUAGUAUUUAAGGUUUGACCUGCCCAAUGAUAAAGUAUUUAAUGGCCGCAGUAAUUUGACUGUGCAAAGGUAGCAUAAUCAUUAGUUUUUUAAUUGAAAGCUUGUAUGAAUGGUUGGACGAGAUAAAAACUGUCUCUAUUUAAUAUAUAAAACUUAAUUUUUAAGUUAAAAAGCUUAAAUUUUUGUAAAAGACGAGAAGACCCUAUAGAUCUUUAUAUAAUUUUUUUUAGUUUAAUUGAUGAUUUUUUAUUUAAUUAUAAAAAUUUAUAUUUUAUUGGGGUAAUAAAAAGAUUUGAUUAAUUCUUUUUUAUAUUACAUGAAUUAAUGAAUAAUUGAUCCGUUAUUAUUGAUUAUAAGAUUAAGUUACCUUAGGGAUAACAGCGUAAUUUUUUUGGAGAGUUCUUAUCGAUAAAAAAGUUUGCGACCUCGAUGUUGGAUUAAAAAUUAUUUUAGGCGUAGAAGUUUAAAAUUUUGGUCUGUUCGACCAUUGAAUUUUUACAUGAUCUGAGUUCAGACCGGUGUAAGCCAGGUCGGUUUCUAUCUUUAUUUAGAUAAAUUAUUUUAGUACGAAAGGACCAAAUAUUAAUUAUAUUGAUAGUUAUAUUAUUGAAAAAAAUUUUUACUUUGGCAGAUUAGUGCAAUAAAUUUAGGAUUUAUAAAUGUAAGUUUU